rnacentral:rRNA from 1 species
GAUGAACGCUAGCGAUAGGCUUAACACAUGCAAGUCGAGGGGCAGCACAAGGUAGCUUGCUAUCUGGGUGGCGACCGGCGCACGGGUGCGUAACGCGUAUGCAACUUGCCCUAUACAGGAGGAUAACCCGUCGAAAGACGGACUAAUACUGCGUAUGCUCACAACUUGGCAUCAAGUAGUGAGGAAAGAAAUUCGGUAUAGGAUAGGCAUGCGUCCCAUUAGCUUGUUGGUGAGGUAACGGCUCACCAAGGCAACGAUGGGUAGGGGAACUGAGAGGUUUAUCCCCCACACUGGUACUGAGACACGGACCAGACUCCUACGGGAGGCAGCAGUGAGGAAUAUUGGUCAAUGGGCGAGAGCCUGAACCAGCCAAGUCGCGUGAAGGAUGACUGUCUUAUGGAUUGUAAACUUCUUUUAUACGGGAAUAACAAGAGUCACGUGUGACUCCCUGCAUGUACCGUAUGAAUAAGC